rnacentral:rRNA from 1 species
GGAUUCCAUGGGGGAACCCUGACGCAGCACGCCGCGUGGAGGAUGAAGUCCUUCGGGACGUAAACUCCUUUCGAUCGGGACGAUUAUGACGGUACCGGAAGAAGAAGCCCCGGCUAACUUCGUGCCAGCAGCCGCGGUAAUACGAGGGGGGCGAGCGUUGUUCGGAAUUAUUGGGCGUAAAGGGUGCGUAGGCGGUUUGGUAAGUCUUCUGUGAAAUCUAUGGGCUCAACUCAUAGACUGCAUGAGAAACUGCCGGGCUUGAGUGUGGGAGAGGUGAGUGGAAUUUCCGGUGUAGCGGUGAAAUGCGUAGAUAUCGGAAGGAACACCUGUGGCGAAAGCGGCUCACUGGACCACAACUGACGCUGAUGCACGAAAGCUAGGGGAGCAAACAGGAUUAGAUACCCUGGUAGUCCUAGCCCUAAACCAUGAUUGCUUGGUGUGACGGGUACCCAAUCCCGCCGUGCCGUAGCUAACGCGUUAAGCAAUCCGCCUGGGGAGUACGGUCGCAAGGCUGAAACUCAAAGAAAUUGACGGA